GACGAACGCUGGCGGCGUGCUUAACACAUGCAAGUCGAACGGGCCUGUCUUCUUUUUUGGGGGUGGGUUGAGUGGCGAACGGGUGAGUAUCACGUGAGUAACCUGCCCUUCGGUCCUGGAUAACCGCUUGAAAGGGCGGCUAAUACGGGGUGGUCCGGUUGGUCCGCAUGGGCUGGUCGGGAUAGAUUCACUGUUUUUGGUGUUUCGGCGGGGGAUGGGCUCGCGGCCUAUCAGCUUGUUGGUGGGGUGAUGGCCUACCAAGGCGGUGACGGGUAGCCGGGCUGAGAGGGUGGGCGGCCACACUGGGACUGGGAUACGGCCCAGACUCCUGCGGGAGGCAGCAGUGGGGGGUAUUGCACAAUGGGCGGAAGCCUGAUGCAGCGACGUCGCGUGAGGGAUGGAGGCCUUCGGGUUGUGAACCUCUGUUUCCGGUGGUGAAGGCCCUGUCCGUGUGGUGGGGUUGACGGUAGCCGGGGAUGAAGCGCCGGCUAACUACGUG
rnacentral:rRNA from 1 species